AUGAACUUGUUGAGUGUGCAUUCGGAUAAACGACGUGUACGCGUUGUGCUCUCCCGCGCGCUUCUCCUCCCCCUCCCGUGCCACAGACGAGGCGGCAGGCCGGCUGUCUCUAAUCCUCACUUUCGAGGUCAGAGCCGCCGGGAUUUAGUUGACCAUUAAGCUGGCAUUGCUCUUCGCGCUUCUCGUUAGGCUUCCUUCUUUAGACGACUCCCUAACCGACUGUAUCGCGUCGUCUCCAUAUAAGCGAGAAGUGACGGGACCGAGCGACAGAAGCGCAGCUUUCAUUAAAUUGGAAAUUCUGGGUCCGGCAAUGUCUCGAGAUCAUAUUGACUCUGUGGUGCAAAGUGUGGAGACCCUGCUGAUAGAGGCAGAGCAGCUAAAGAACCGCUGCCGCCGGCAGAAUGAGGAGAUUCGCCUGGUCAUCAGUGAGUUGCGUCGUGACAACCAGGAGCUACAAGACAAGUAUGUGCAGGCCGAGAUUGACAUGGCAGAGAUGAAGCGUGCCAUUAAUGAGCUUGUAGACACCAAGAUGGCAUUUGAAACAAGAGAGAGACAAGUCCGUAAACUUAGCAAACAGCUUUAAUCUGGACUGCUAUUACAGAAUUUACUUUGCAGCUUUCGAUACGUAUCCUGUGACGGCCUACUGUUUAAUUCCAGACAAUGUUGAUGUGUGAUACGUGGAGAAAAUGAUAGAUAAGGAGGUGACCCUAGCAAACGUGUUGGUUGCGGCAGUCGAGUCUAACUGAUUUAAUGCACAACGUAAACUAAUGUAAAAUGUGACUGUGACAGUAAAAUUAAGAUGUAUUAGUUUUAAACAAUGACUGUAUGUAUUGUAAAUUCUUUUCUACCCUGUUUUACACAUGUAUUUCCUUGUAUAUUCAUUUGUCAAAACAUAUAUCUAGGAUAUUGUCACAAAGGCCAUCUUCUGAUCCGUUUGGUUGUGCCAGUUUGCCUUUUUAAAUUUAAAGUCUCUGCUUUGGAUGUUCUGCACUACCAUGUUGCCUAAACCUACUAAUGAUGGGGCUGGACAGAAGCUACCUUUUGAAAGCAGCUUUAUAAACGUAGCCAUGCAGAAAACUCUGUUCAUACUUACAUAGUCAUAACCUGCUUAUUCCAAACAUUUAUAUGUGUGUUUCAUUAGUGCUCUGCUUCUGUUUUGUGUGUAUAUUUUUUGGUAUUUUACUGUAUAAGGAGUACAGCUUUAAAACAUGGGUAUUGUUACGCUGUCACGAUUCACAUUUCAGUUUAUUAAUGUAGCCUAUAUACAAAGCAUGACAGUGAAAAAUAAAGAGGACAAUUUAUUAGC